rnacentral:rRNA from 1 species
UAUGGGAAGCCGUGAUGCGGAGCGAAAUAAAGUAGCGAAGUCCGUGAGCCAUGCGUCAAGAAAAGCCGCUAUCGUUUAUACCGUACCCGUACCGUAAACCGACACAGGUGGAUGAGGAGAGAAUCCUAAGGCCGGCGGAAGAAGCAUUGUCAAGGAACUCGGCAAAAUGGCCCCGUAACUUAGGGAUAAGGGGUGCCUGGGAAACCAGGCCGCAGAGAAUAGGCUCAAGCAACUGUUUAGCAAAAACACAGGUCUAUGCGAAACCGAAAGGUGAGGUAUAUGGGCUGACGCCUGCCCGGUGCUGGAAGGUUAAGAGGAGAGGUUAGCGGUAACGCGAAGCUUUGAAUUUAAGCCCCAGUAAACGGCGGCCGUAACAAUAACGGUCCUAAGGUAGCGAAAUUCCUUGUCGGGUAAGUUCCGACCCGCACGAAAGGCGUAAUGAUUUGAGCGCUGUCUCGACAAUGCAUCCGGUGAAAUUGAAGUACCAGUGAAGAUGCUGGUUACCUGCGCCAGGACGGAAAGACCCCAUGGAGCUUUACUCCAGUCUGGUACUGGGACUCGGUAUUGCAUGUACAGGAUAGGUGGGAGGCUAGGAGAUGGUAACGCCAGUUGCCAUGGAGCCGCUGUUGGGAUACCACCCUUGCAGUAUUGGGUUUCUAACCAGCCGCCGUGACCCGGCGGUGGGACAAUGCCAGACGGGGAGUUUGACUGGGGCGGUCGCCUCCGAAAGGGUAUCGGAGGCGCCCAAAGGUUCCCUCAGAAUGGACGGAAACCAUUCGAAGAGUGCAAAGGCAGAAGGGAGCUUGACUGCGACACCGACGGGUGGAGCAGGUACGAAAGUAGGGCUUAGUGAUCCGGUGGUAUUAAGUGGGAAUGCCAUCGCUCAACGGAUAAAAGCUACCCUGGGAUAACAGGCUUAUCACUCCCAAGAGUUCACAUCGACGGAGUGGUUUGGCACCUCGAUGUCGGCUCAUCGCAUCCUGGGGCUGUAGUAGGUCCCAAGGGUUGGGCUGUUCGCCCAUUAAAGCGGUACGCGAGCUGGGUUCAGAACGUCGUGAGACAGUUCGGUCCCUAUCCGGCGUGGGCGUAGGAUAUCUGAGAGGAGCUGUCCUUAGUACGAGAGGACCGGGAUGGACGGGCCGCUGGUGCAUCGGUUAGACUGCCAAGUCUACGGCCGAGUAGCCAAGCCCGGAAGGGAUAAACGCUGAAGGCAUCUAAGCGUGAAGCCCCCCUUAAGAUGAGAUAUCCCAUUCGAAAGAAGUAAACCCCCUUGAAGACGACGGGGUAGAUAGGGCAGAGGUGGAAGUGCAGCAAUGCAUGGAGCUGACUGUUACUAAUCGGGUGAGGGCUCGA